rnacentral:rRNA from 1 species
CUCCUACGGGAGGCAGCAGUGGGGAAUAUUGGACAAUGGGGGGAACCCUGAUCCAGCCAUGCCGCGUGUGUGAAGAAGGCCUUAUGGUUGUAAAGCACUUUAAGCGAGGAGGAGGCUACUUUAGUUAAUACCUAGAGAUAGUGGACGUUACUCGCAGAAUAAGCACCGGCUAACUCUGUGCCAGCAGCCGCGGUAAUACAGAGGGUGCAAGCGUUAAUCGGAUUUACUGGGCGUAAAGCGCGCGUAGGCGGCUAAUUAAGUCAAAUGUGAAAUCCCCGAGCUUAACUUGGGAAUUGCAUUCGAUACUGGUUAGCUAGAGUGUGGGAGAGGAUGGUAGAAUUCCAGGUGUAGCGGUGAAAUGCGUAGAGAUCUGGAGGAAUACCGAUGGCGAAGGCAGCCAUCUGGCCUAACACUGACGCUGAGGUGCGAAAGCAUGGGGAGCAAACAGGAUUAGAUACCCUGGUAGUCCACGCCGUAAACGAUGAUAACUAGCUGUCCGGGGACUUGGUCUUUGGGUGGCGCAGCUAACGCAUUAAGUUAUCCGCCUGGGGAGUACGGCCGCAAGGUUAAAACUCAAAUGAAUUGACGGGGGCCUGCACAAGCGGUGGAGCAUGUGGUUUAAUUCGAAGCAACGCGCAGAACCUUACCAGCGUUUGACAUGUCCGGACGAUUUCCAGAGAUGGAUCUCUUCCCUUCGGGGACUGGAACACAGGUGCUGCAUGGCUGUCGUCAGCUCGUGCCGUGAGAUGUUGGGUUAAGUCCCGCAACGAGCGCAACCCUCGCCUUUAGUUACCAUCAUUCAGUUGGGGACUCUAAAGGAACCGCCGGUGAUAAGCCGGAGGAAGGUGGGGAUGACGUCAAGUCCUCAUGGCCCUUACGCGCUGGGCUACACACGUGCUACAAUGGGAAGUACAACGAGUCGCGAAGUCGCGAGGCUAAGCUAAUCUCUUAAAGCUUCUCUCAGUUCGGAUUGUAGGCUGCAACUCGCCUACAUGAAGCCGGAAUCGCUAGUAAUCGCGGAUCAGCACGCCGCGGUGAAUACGUUCCCGGGCCUUGUACACACCGCCCGU